GACGAACGCUGGCGGCGUGCUUAACACAUGCAAGUCGAACGGAAAGGCCUUUUCGGAGGUACUCGAGUGGCGAACGGGUGAGUAACACGUGGGUGAUCUGCCCUGCACUCUGGGAUAAGCCUGGGAAACUGGGUCUAAUACCGGAUAGGACCGCACUUUAGUGUGUGUGGUGGAAAGUUUUUUCGGUGUAGGAUGAGCCCGCGGCCUAUCAGCUUGUUGGUGGGGUAAUGGCCUACCAAGGCGGCGACGGGUAGCCGGACUGAGGGGUUGGUCGGCCACAUUGGGACUGAGAUACGGCCCAGGCUCCUACGGGAGGCAGCAGUGGGGAAUAUUGCACAAUGGGCGCAAGCCUGAUGCAGCGACGCCGCGUGGGGGAUGACGGCCUUCGGGUUGUAAACUCCUUUCGCCAGGGACGAAGCGUUUUGUGACGGUACCUGGAGAAGAAGCACCGGCUAACUACGUG
rnacentral:rRNA from 1 species